rnacentral:rRNA from 1 species
CCUACGGGUGGCAGCAGUAGGGAAUAUUGCUCAAUGGGGGAAACCCUGAAGCAGCAACGCCGCGUGGAGGAUGAAGGUUUUCGGAUUGUAAACUCCUUUUUUUAGGGAAGAUAAUGACGGUAUCUAACCAAUAAGCACCGGCUAACGCCGUGCCAGCAGCCGCGGUAAUACGGAGGGUGCAAGCGUUACUCGGAAUCACUGGGGGUAAAGAGCGCGUAUGCGGGAUAGCAAGUCAGAUGUGAAAUCCCAGGGCUUAACCAUAGAACUGCAUUUGAAACUGUUAUUCUAGAGUAUGGGAGAGGUAGGUGGAAUUCGUGGUGUAGCGGUGAAAUGCGUAGAGAUCAAGAGGAAUACUCAUUGCGAAGGCGACCUGCUAGAACAUAACUGACGCUGAUGCGCGAAAGCGUGGGGAGCAAACAGGAUUAGAUACCCUAGUAGUC